CUUGCUGCGGACGUGGUUGUCUGUCCUUCCCCCGGGGAUGCCGUUGACUGUGGCCGUCUCAGGCUCGCGUGGCUUCUCUCUGCCCGGCCUCGCCGUCCUUGCAGCGUGGGGCUCAAAAGGGAUAGACAAAGCCCUUCCCGGCUGUGGACAGGAGCUGCCUCGGCUGAAGCUGGAGACACCAACGAAAGGUGGAGGAUGGCCUAGAGUCUGGAGCUGCAGAAGAGGCAGGGAGGAGAGAAGGGGAAACAAGCAUCUGAACGGCUAAAUUGUGCCAGCAGCGCUGAGAGCGAGAGUCACGAGACCUUGCUGAGGACGUGGUUGUCUGUCCUUCCCCCGGGGAUGCCGUUGACUGUGGCCGUCUCAGGCUCGCGUGGCUUCUCUCUGCCCGGCCUCACCGUCCUUGCAGCGCGGGGGCGAAAAGGGACACACAGAGCCCUUCCCGGCUGUGGACAGGAGCUGCCUCGGCUGAAGCUGGAGACACCAACGAAAGGUAAAGAAGAAGAAA